rnacentral:rRNA from 1 species
GUGUGCGAGUCAUUGGGUAUAUUGUUGAAACCUAAGGGCGUAAUUAAAAUAACUAUUUUAUGGGAUUACAAGUGAAUUAAUUUUCAUUUCUUCAUCCCGGGGCGUUCUAUACGAACAUGGUUCAAGCAAUUGAACCCUCUGUUCAAGAGCGUACCUUGAGCAUACAUGCUGUGACCCGAAAGAUGGUGAACUAUACCUGAUCAGAUCGAAGCCAGGAGAAAUUCUGGUGGAGGAUCGAAACAGUUCUGACGUGCAAAUCGAUUGUCAGAAUUGGGUAUAGGGGCGAAAGACCAAUCGAACCAUCUAGUAGCUGGUUCCCUCCGAAGUUUCCCUCAGGAUAGCUGGCGCAAAGAAUUAUAUUAUAUAUAAUCUUAUCUGGUAAAGCGAAUGAUUAGAGGCCUUGGGGCCGAAACGACCUCAACCUAUUCUCAAACUUUAAAUGGGUAAGAACSUCAUCUUUCUUGAUCUGAAGAUAUUGGGGUUUAGAUAUAUUGUGCCCAGUGGGCCACUUUUGGUAAGCAGAACUGGCGCUGUGGGAUGAACCAAACAUGAUGUUACGGCGCCUAAAUUAAUGACUCAUAUUGAUACCAUGAAAGGCGUUGGUUGCUUAAAACAGCAGGACGGUGGACAUGGAAGUCGUAAUCCGCUAAGGAGUGUGUAACAACUCACCUGCCGAAGCAACUAGCCCUUAAAAUGGAUGGCGCUCAAGUCAUAUGCCUAUACAUCAUCGCUAGAAUAAAAAUUGUUGACUUUCGGGUCAUCAUUAUGAAAUUCUAGUGAGUAGGAGGGUACAAUGGUGUGCGCAGAAGUGUUUGGCGUGAGCCUGCAUGAAGCCGCCAUUGGCACAGAUCUUGGUGGUAGUAGCAAAUAAUCGAAUGAGAUCUUGGAGGACUGAAGUGGAGAAGGGUUUCGUGUGAACAGUGGUUGAUCACGAGUUAGUCGGUCCUAAGCUUUAUGCGAAAGCUGUUUAAUUUAUGUUACACACAAUACAAUUUAACAAAAUUUAUUUUAUGUUGUACAUAAUUCAAUAAAAGCGAAAGGGAAUACGGUUCCAAUUCCGUAACCUGUUGAGUAUACGUUUGUUUAUUAAAAAUGGGUCUUAUUACACUCAUCCUGGCAACAGGAACGACCAUAGAGAAGCCUUCGAGAGAUACUGGAAGAGUUUUCUUUUCUGCUAAACAAACGUAUCACCAUGGAAGUCUUUUAUAGAGAGAUAUGGUGGAUGGCUUGGAAGAGCAUGACAUUUACUGUUGUGUCAGUAUUUUCUCCUUGGACCUUGAAAAUCUAUGGUGGGGCCACGCAAACUUCUCAACAGACCGUACCGAUAUC